rnacentral:rRNA from 1 species
GCUGUUGGCGAUACAUUGUCAGCGUCCAAGAGAAAAGCGUUUAAGCAUCCCACCUGGGGAGUACGCCGGCAACGGUGAAACUCAAAGGAAUGACGGGGGCCCGCACAAGCGGAGGAAACAUGUGGUUUAAUUCGAUGAUACGCGAGGAACCUUACCCGGGCUUGAACUGCAGGAGAACGAUUCAGAGAUGAUGAGGUCCUUCGGGACUCCUGUGGAGGUGCUGCAUGGUUGUCGUCAGCUCGUGCCGUGAGGUGUCGGCUUAAGUGCCAUAACGAGCGCAACCCUUUUCAUUAGUUGCCAUCAGGUAAUGUUGGGCACUUUUUUGAUACUGCCACCGUAAGGUGGGGGGAAGGUGGGGAUGACGUCAAAUCAGCACGGACCUUACGUCCGGGGCUGCACACGUGUUACAAUGGGAGGUACAGAGAGUCGGUCGUAUGCAAAUACGAUCUAAUCCUUAAAGCCUUCCUCAGUUCGGAUUGGGGUCUGCAACCCGACCCCAGAAGCUGGAUUCGCUAGUAAUCGCGCAUCAGCCAUGGCGUUUUAAAAACUUUCCCAUCCUG